AAUUUUCAAAACUCGACCGUAAGACUAAUAAAUAACAAAACCCUUUCUCACAUCUUUCCUUCCCUCCUCUUCGUGCAUCCGCCGAUGUGGUGAGCGCCUUCUUCACAGAACACACACGCACGCACAAAGAAAAGAAUAUGAAGUUCAAGGCAUUUGUGACUGAGAAUGGCGUAAGUCUGCUGGACAGGAGAUUCCUGCCUGCUUUGGACAAAAUGGGAAAGAUUUGCCAUCUUUUCCUCACCAGAGAGCACGCCUUCUUCCUCCACAACCUCCUUACCACCUCCGACGGCAUCCAAUCCAUUGCUCAGUUCCGCAAACAAGCUCUCUUCGACGACUAUCGUAUUUCCAGCCAGAAUGAAGACCGCAUUGCGUUCGCCUUUGACAUCUCCCUCCUUCUUCGCGCUGUUCGUAGCAGUGUCAGUAUUAUUUCCAGUGAGUCUGGGGGUGCGAAUCGGCUUCAGGUUAAAUUGGUGAAGAAGCUGCCUCCUAAUUCUACUCAGCCAAUGCCUUUUCUUACCUUUGAGACAAAGGGUUAUAAGUCUGCUGUUAUUCAAGACGUUCCCAUUUCCAAGCCCUUGUCUAGGGAUCAACUUCUUCAACUUCAAGCUGCUCUUGACGCUGCCCAAGAUCUUCCUCAGACUCUGGUUCAGGUUCCUGAUUUGAAUCGGCUGCAGAACUUUGUUGAUCGCAUGAAGCAUGUUGGUGAUCUUCUGAAUGUUUCUAUAAGCAAGUACGGGGAUCUUCACCUGCAGAUUUCAACUACCUUGAUCACACUUGGUGCUGAGUUUCGCAAGUUGUUGGUUGUUGGAGAUAAAGCCCAAGCCCCAGAUGAGGACCGAGAUUUAAGUGCGCAGACUCGGUCAGAGAGGGCGAUUUUGAUGGGAGAUGCUCAGAAUGUGCAGGUCAGUGUAAGGCAUUUUUCUAAGAGUCUACAAUGUCACUUGGCCAAGCCGGAUUGUGCUUUCUAUGGGAUUGCCCCUCAGGGUGCUUGUUUGACUGUGAUAUUCCAGUUCUUCAUUCCCGGAACUCGUCAAACUGAUAAAUCUAUCAGUCUGCAUUGUAGGCUUCCUGUGCUUGACCCAGGGUCAAGCUGAAGAAGUUCAUAUUAUGAUCAUAUUCCAUAAAUAGCUCAACGGAUUUGGAUUGCAUUUACUGUGUUAAUAUCUCCCUUCCCUCGCUGGUUUUAAGGAAACAUUGAACAUGGAAGUGACAUGUUAGAAGAAAAUGCUACUUGAAUUGAUGUAAAUGUGAUGAUGCGAAACCCUCAUCAAAAUGUAGCAGCAUUUGGUUCUUGGUGCCUCUACUUAUCCUUUCUCAGUUGAGGGAACAGAUGGGAAUUGAUCUUGAUGACAAGCGGAGUGCUGAUGUACGACAAGUAGUAGCAUGAGUUUGAGAGUAAGAUAAAGCUGUUAGUGGUUGUCGACAAAUUAGGUUUAUAUCUUGGUUGAACCCUUUGUGUAAUUGCAACUGAAUCCUUAUAUAUGUUGUACUGUAAAUGAUCAUUUUCAACAAUCAAAUGAGAUAGUAAAGAUUCUCUCAUCUCUCGUUCUUUUAAAA